CUUCUGUUGCAUGGCUAGUGCAUUUGCUUCUCUCUGAAGUAAUAAUGAGUUACUUUUGGCCUGCUGUAAUUCAAUACUUAAUAGAUCUCCAGUGCUGGAAUGCUUUCUGUGACCAGACAAAUCUGUAACUAUGAAUCUGUCCCGUUCUGCAUAACGUGCUGAUGAUGCUGAAUCUGAGCCAUAAGAACUCCACCUUGAGUCAACAGCAUUGACAUAAGGAACAUAAUCUGAUACACUGAUGGGCUUAGUUGCACUUCCUUGGGAAGCAGUGGCCUGAAUUGGAUCUGUUGUGUGAUAACCCGUGCGGGAUGACCUG
rnacentral:lncRNA from 1 species